rnacentral:rRNA from 1 species
AGUGAACGCUGGCGGUAGGCCUAACACAUGCAAGUCGAACGGCAGCACAGAGGAGCUUGCUCCUUGGGUGGCGAGUGGCGGACGGGUGAGGAAUACAUCGGAAUCUACUCUGUCGUGGGGGAUAACGUAGGGAAACUUACGCUAAUACCGCAUACGACCUACGGGUGAAAGCAGGGGAUCUUCGGACCUUGCGCGAUUGAAUGAGCCGAUAUCGGAUUAGCUAGUUGGCGGGGUAAAGGCCCACAAAGGCGACGAUCCGUAGCUGGUCUGAGAGGAUGAUCAGCCACACUGGAACUGAGACACGGUCCAGACUCCUACGGGAGGCAGCAGUGGGGAAUAUUGGACAAUGGGCGCAAGCCUGAUCCAGCCAUACCGCGUGGGUGAAGAAGGCCUUCGGGUUGUAAAGCCCUUUUGUUGGGAAAGAAAUCCAUCUGGUUAAUACCCGGGUGGGAUGACGGUACCCAAAGAAUAAGCACCGGCUAACUUCGUGCCAGCCGCCGCAGUAA